AUAGGCCUGUGAUAUGCCUCGGGGCCAAGAAUUAUGUCGCUGAAACCCACCAAUUACGAGGGUUGCAACCCGAAAACGGCUUUCUUUCCUUCCACUUCUCUACAUAUACACGCGUAUAGAAAACCUAAGUAAGUCGCAACUUUUUUCAAUACCCAAGUCAACAACGCGUUCGUGCAAACAUUCCUUCCAGCCGGAGUACUUGCCGCGACACCAUAAAGCAUACAUUAUAAAAAUUUCCCCGAGGAAAAGAAAAUUA
rnacentral:misc_RNA from 1 species